rnacentral:pre_miRNA from 1 species
AGCACGAUAUAGCGGAGAAGACGAUGGGCUAAUACUACAUUUGGUAAAACGGAUUGAUAGUAUUGUUUCACCACUUUGAUCCCUUUCUCUCCAUGGUCACCUCUUGUUUCAAUCAUCUU